AUCCAGGUGACGAGUGCCAAAUAGGACGAAACACGCGUCCUGAAU
rnacentral:hammerhead_ribozyme from 1 species